GACCUCUUGGCCUGCUGUUUUGAAGCUCCUGCUGUGGAAACAGAGAAAACCCCUGCCACUGAGGUCCCAACAAUUUAUGAGAAUGCCAGUGAGGACUACGAACUGUGGAGAUCUGUCGAUGAGGUAAUCUACGCAGCUUACAGUGAAACCGUUAACACCAGACCAACAGGAGCUGAGGAGGAUGAAGACAGCAGCUCUGAGACUAUAGAUGCUCCUCAGCUCUGAGUUUGAGGAGCAGAGGACGCUCAGAUGGACCAAACAUGGAGCAUGUCAUCUUGGUAACUUCUCCCUAAAGGAGUUUGGGUCCUGCUACGAGGAACCAGAACCGCAUCUACUCUACAGUCACACAGCCAACAUGGGAUCCUGAAUUCAGGCCUGGUUUUAGUUUCUGGACCUCAGGAUUAAAGUUUGUUCACUGAAGCUAAAAACUGAGAAAUCUGGACGUCUCUCUGCAGUUCCUUUGUUUUUGCUGCAUGUGAUUUUAUACUAGAUACAUUUUACUGCUGUUUUAUUCAUGUAAUUAUUGAUUAAAAGGUUAAGAUGGAAAAACUCUAAAUUUAGAUACUGAAAAAAGUUUGUUCAGAUCUAUUUUUCCUCCAAUCACUUUUUUUCUAUCUGCAGAGGAAGUUAGUCUAUGGUUAAUAAUUCUUAGCAAAUUGAGCUUUUUCUUCCUGUUUUUCUGUCAGUC